GAUGAACGCUGGCGGCGUGCUUAACACAUGCAAGUCGAACGAAAAAUGGAGACGGAAACCUUCGGGCGGAAGGCUUCAUUUCGAGUGGCGGACGGGGGAGUAACUCGUGGGUAACCUGCCUCAUACAGGGGGAUAACAGUUGGAAACGACUGUUAAUACCGCAUAAGACCACAGCACCGCAUGGUGCGGGGGUAAAAACUCCGGUGGUAUGAGAUGGACCCGCGUUCGAUUAGCCAGUUGGCGGGGUAACGGCCCACCAAAGCGACGAUCGAUAGCCGAUCUGAGAGGAUGACCGGCCACAUUGGGACUGAGACACGGCCCAAACUCCUACGGGAGGCAGCAGUGGGGAAUAUUGCACAAUGGGGGAAACCCUGAUGCAGCGACGCCGCGUGAGUGAAGAAGUACUUCGGUAUGUAAAGCUCUAUCAGCAGGGAAGAAAAUGACGGUACCUGAGUAAGAAGCCCCGGCUAACUACGUG
rnacentral:rRNA from 1 species